rnacentral:lncRNA from 1 species
UCUCCGACUGGCCGGCUGCCAACUCUGCCCCUGCUCCCAGGUUGUAUCUCAUGGCUGAGCUGAAGUGGGUGGUGUGGUGGGUGGUGUGGGGAGAUAGGGAGGCUCUCGUGAGCCUGGCUGUUGCUCCACUGCCAUAGUUAUUGUCUACCUUAAAUGCCUUUUCUUCUUCUAAACCCAUGGGUUGGGGAGUGUGUGGGUGGCUGUCAUGGCCCCUGAAGCCUAGAACUGUACUGGAUUAUAGGCGAGCACCACCUGUGGAUGCAGAAAUCCUUCGAACCAUGAAGAAAGUGGGCUUCAUUGGCUACGCCCCCAACCCCCGCACCAGGCUGCGCAACCAGGUGUGUCCAGAGGCGGGUGUGCGUUCUCUGGCCUCUCCGGCCUCUUACUAGUGUUUGUUUUGUUUUUAGACGAUAAAGGUUUGGGACAUGUGUGCAGAAUUUAAGAAGCUAUGCUUGUCAUGUCUAAGCCGUAGAUGAUAAGGUCUAUCCCUUAUGAUGGUUAUUUGGUUGAAGAAAAGACAUUACCCCAUCAGAAAUUAUUUAUAUCUUGGUGUUAAAUGACAAACAAAGGGAAGCUGUAGGCCAGAACAGUUAAGAACAGUGUGACUGGGGUUCGGGAGUUAGCUCAGUGGUAGAACACUUGCCUAGCAAAUGCAAGGCCCUGGGUUCGGUCCCCAGCUCUGGGGGAAAAAAAAAAAAAAAAAA